UGAGGAAUAUUGGUCAAUGGGCGAGAGCCUGAACCAGCCAAGUCGCGUGAAGGAAGAAGGAUCUAUGGUUCGUAAACUUCUUUUUUAGGGGAAUAAAGUGCGGUACGUGUACCGUUUUGUAUGUACCCUACGAAUAAGGAUCGGCUAACUCCGUGCCAGCAGCCGCGGUAAUACGGAGGAUCCGAGCGUUAUCUGGAUUUAUUGGGUUUAAAGGGUGCGUAGGCGGAAGAAUAAGUCAGUGGUGAAAGUUUGCAGCUCAACUGUAAAAUUGCCGUUGAAACUGUUUGUCUUGAGUGUAAAUGAGGUAGGCGGAAUGUGUUGUGUAGCGGUGAAAUGCUUAGAUAUGACACAGAACACCGAUUGCGAAGGCAGCUUACUAAGAUACAACUGACGCUGAGGCGCGAAAGCGUGGGGAUCGAACA
rnacentral:rRNA from 1 species